AGAGUUUGAUCAUGGCUCAGAGCGAACGCUGGCGGAAUGCUUAACACAUGCAAGUCGCGCGGCCAGUAAUGGCAGCGGCGGACGGGUGAGUAACACGUAGGAAUAUGUCCUGAGGUGGGGGACAACCCUGGGAAACUGGGGCUAAUACCGCACAUCUGCUGAGGCAGAAAGCCGUGAGGCGCCUUGGGAGUAGCCUGCGUCCGAUUAGCUAGUUGGUGGGGUAAGAGCCUACCAAGGCGACGAUCGGUAGCUGGUCUGAGAGGACGACCAGCCACACUGGGACUGAGACACGGCCCAGACUCCUACGGGAGGCAGCAGUGGGGAAUAUUGGACAAUGGGCGCAAGCCUGAUCCAGCAAUUCCGCGUGGGUGAAGAAGGUCUUCGGAUUGUAAAGCCCUUUCGGCGGGGACGAUGAUGACGGUACCCGCAGAAGAAGCCCCGGCUAACUUCGUGCCAGCAGCCGCGGUAAUACGAAGGGGGCUAGCGUUGCUCGGAAUUACUGGGCGUAAAGGGCGCGUAGGCGGCGCUGCAAGUCAGGCGUGAAAUUCCUGGGCUUAACCUGGGGGCUGCGCUUGAGACUGUGGGGCUAGAGGAUGGAAGAGGCUCGUGGAAUUCCCAGUGUAGAGGUGAAAUUCGUAGAUAUUGGGAAGAACACCGGUGGCGAAGGCGGCGAGCUGGUCCAUGACUGACGCUGAGGCGCGAUAGCGUGGGGAGCAAACAGGAUUAGAUACCCUAGUAGUCC
rnacentral:rRNA from 1 species